GCCCGCAUAGCUCAGUGGUAGAGCAGUUGACUCUUAAUCAAUUGGUCGGGGGUUCGAAUCCCUCUGCGGGCACCA
rnacentral:tRNA from 1 species